rnacentral:rRNA from 1 species
GGGGAAUAUUGCACAAUGGGGGAAACCCUGAUGCAGCAACGCCGCGUGAGCGAUGAAGGCCUUCGGGUUGUAAAGCUCUGUCUUCGCUGACGAUAAUGACGGUAAGCGAGGAGGAAGCCACGGCUAACUACGUGCCAGCAGCCGCGGUAAUACGUAGGUGGCAAGCGUUGUCCGGAAUUACUGGGCGUAAAGGAUGCGUAGGCGGCUUCUUAAGUGGGAUGUGAAAUGCCGGGGCUUAACCCCGGAUGUGCAUUCCAUACUGGGAGGCUAGAGUGCAGGAGAGGAAAGCGGAAUUCCCAGUGUAGCGGUGAAAUGCGUAGAGAUUGGGAGGAACACCAGUGGCGAAGGCGGCUUUCUGGACUGUAACUGACGCUGAGGCAUGAAAGUGUGGGGAGCAAAC